rnacentral:rRNA from 1 species
ACACAUGCAAGUCGAACGAUGAAGCCCUUCGGGGUGGAUUACUGGCGAACGGGUGAGUAACACGUGGGCAAUCUGCCCUUCACUCUGGGACAAGCCCUGGAAACGGGGUCUAAUACCGGAUACGACUGCGUAAGGCAUCUUCUGCGGUGGAAAGCUCCGGCGGUGAAGGAUGAGCCCGCGGCCUAUCAGCUUGUUGUUGGGGUAAUGGCCUACCAAGGCGACGACGGGUAGCCGGCCUGAGAGGGCGACCGGCUUCAAUGGGACUGAGACACGGCCCAGACUCCUACGGGAGGCAGCAGUGGGGAAUAUUGCACAAUGGGCGAAAGCCUGAUGCAGCGACGCCGCGUGAGGGAUGACGGCCUUCGGGUUGUAAACCUCUUUCAGCAGGGAAGAAGCGAAAGUGACGGUACCUGCAUAAGAAGCGCCGGCUAACUACGUGCCAGCAGCCGCGGUAAUACGUACGGCGCAAGCGUUGUCCGGAAUUAUUGGGCGUAAAGAGCUCGUAGGCGGCUUGUCACGUCGGAUGUGAAAGCCCGAGGCUUAACCUCGGGUCUGCAUUCGAUACGGGCUAGCUAGAGUGUGGUAGGGGAGAUCGGAAUUCCUGGUGUAGCGGUGAAAUGCGCAGAUAUCAGGAGGAACACCGGUGGCGAAGGCGGAUCUCUGGGCCAUUACUGACGCUGACGAGCGAAAGCGUGGGGAGCGAACAGGAUUAGAUACCCUGGUAGUCCACGCCGUAAACGUUGGGAACUAGGUGUUGGCGACAUUCCACGUCGUCGGUGCCGCAGCUAACGCAUUAAGUUCCCCGCCUGGGGAGUACGGCCGCAAGGCUAAAACUCAAAGGAAUUGACGGGGGCCCGCACAAGCGGCGGAGCAUGUGGCUUAAUUUGACGCAACGCGAAGAACCUUACCAAGGCUUGACAUAUACCGGAAAGCAUUAGAGAUAGUGCCCCCCUUGUGGUCGGUAUACAGGUGGUGCAUGGCUGUCGUCAGCUUGUGUCGUGAGAUGUUGGGUUAAGUCCCGCAACGAGCGCAACCCUUGUCCUGUGUUGCCAGCAUGCCCUUCGGGGUGAUGGGGACUCACAGGAGACCGCCGGGGUCAACUCGGAGGAAGGUGGGGACGACGUCAAGUCAUCAUGCCCCUUAUGUCUUGGGCUGCACACGUGCUACAAUGGCCGGUACAAUGAGCUGCGAUACCGUGAGGUGGAGCGAAUCUCAAAAAACCGGUCUCAGUUCGGAUUGGGCUCUGCAACUCGACCCCAUGAAGUCGGAGUCGCUAGUAAUCGCAGAUCAGCAAUGGUGCGGUGAAUACGUUCCCGGGCCUUGUACACCCCCCCCGUCCCCUCACGAAAGUCGGUAACACCCGAAGCCGGUGGCCCAACCCCUAGGAGGGAGCUUC